UGAGGAAUAUUGGGCAAUGGGCGAAAGCCUGACCCAGCGACGCCGUGUGGGUGAUGAAGGCCUUCGGGUUGUAAAGCCCUGUUGGGUGGAAAGAAGGGUUCAGAGACGAAUAAUCUCUGAGCUUUGACGGUACCACCAGAGAAAGCACCGGCUAACUCCGUGCCAGCAGCCGCGGUAAUACGGAGGGUGCAAGCGUUGUUCGGAAUCACUGGGCGUAAAGGGCGCGUAGGCGGUUUGAUAAGUCAGAUGUGAAAGCCCAUGGCUUAACUGUGGAAGUGCAUUUGAAACUGUCAGACUUGAGUAUCAGAGGGGAAAGUGGAAUUCCCGGUGUAGAGGUGAAAUUCGUAGAUAUCGGGAGGAAUACCGGUGGCGAAGGCGACUUUCUGGCUGAAUACUGACGCUGAGGCGCGAAAGCGUGGGGAGCAAACA
rnacentral:rRNA from 1 species